UACGGAGGGGGCUAGCGUUGUUCGGAAUUACUGGGCGUAAAGCGCGCGUAGGCGGUUGCCUAAGUCGGACGUGAAAGCCCUCGGCUUAACCGAGGAAGUGCAUCCGAAACUGAGCAGCUAGAGUACGAAAGAGGGUCGCGGAAAUUCCCGGUGUAGAGGUGAAAUUCGUAGAUAUCGGGAGGAACACCGGCGGCGAAGGCGGCGACCUGGGUCGAGACUGACGCUGAGGCGGCGAAAAGCGUGGGGAGCAAACAGGG
rnacentral:rRNA from 1 species